rnacentral:rRNA from 1 species
AGUUUGUUCAUGGCUCAAGGCGAACGCCUGGCGGCGUGCUUAACACAUGCAAGUUCGAACGAUGAAGCCUAGCUUGCUAGGUGGAUUAGUUGGCGAACGGGUGAGUAAUACGUUGAGUUGACCUACCUUUGACUCUGGGAUAAGCCUGGGAAACUGGGUCUAAUACCGGAUACGACCAAUCUCCGCAUGGGGUGUUGGUGGAAAGCGUUAUGGAGUGGUUUUAGAUGGGCUCACGGCCUAUCAGCUUGUUGGUGAGGUAAUGGCUUACCAAGGCGACGACGGGUAGCCGGCCUGAGAGGGUGACCGGCCACACUGGGACUGAGACACGGCCCAGACUCCUACGGGAGGCAGCAGUGGGGAAUAUUGCACAAUGGGCGCAAGCCUGAUGCAGCGACGCCGCGUGAGGGAUGACGGCCUUCGGGUUGUAAACCUCUGUUAGCAUCGAAGAAGCGAAAGUGACGGUAGGUGCAGAGAAAGCGCCGGCUAACUACGUGCCAGCAGCCGCGGUAAUACGUAGGGCGCGAGCGUUGUCCGGAAUUAUUGGGCGUAAAGAGCUUGUAGGCGGUUGGUCGCGUCUGCUGUGAAAGGCUGGGGCUUAACCCUGGUUUUGCAGUGGGUACGGGCUAACUAGAGUGCAGUAGGGGAGACUGGAAUUCCUGGUGUAGCGGUGGAAUGCGCAGAUAUCAGGAGGAACACCGAUGGCGAAGGCAGGUCUCUGGGCUGUAACUGACGCUGAGAAGCGAAAGCAUGGGGAGCGAACAGGAUUAGAUACCCUGGUAGUCCAUGCCGUAAACGUUGGGCACUAGGUGUGGGGGACAUUCCACGUUUUCCGCGCCGUAGCUAACGCAUUAAGUGCCCCGCCUGGGGAGUACGGCCGCAAGGCUAAAACUCAAAGAAAUUGACGGGGGCCCGCACAAGCGGCGGAGCAUGCGGAUUAAUUCGAUGCAACGCGAAGAACCUUACCAAGGCUUGACAUAUACUGGACUGCGUCAGAGAUGGCGUUUCCCUUCGGGGCUGGUAUACAGGUGGUGCAUGGUUGUCGUCAGCUCGUGUCGUGAGAUGUUGGGUUAAGUCCCGCAACGAGCGCAACCCUCGUUCUAUGUUGCCAGCACGUGAUGGUGGGGACUCAUAGGAGACUGCCGGGGUCAAACUCGGAGGAAGGUGGGGAUGACGUCAAAUCAUCAUGCCCCUUAUGUCUUGGGCUUCACGCAUGCUACGAUGGCCGGUACAGAGGGUUGCGAUACUGUGAGGUGGAGCUAAUCCCUAAAAGCCGGUCUCAGUUCGGAUUGGGGUCUGCAACUCGACCCCGUGAAGUGGGAGUCGCUAGUAAUCGCAGAUCGGGCAAACGCUGCGGUAAAUACGGUUCCCCGGCCCUUGUUCGCCCCCCCC